rnacentral:rRNA from 1 species
GAUGAACGCUGGCGGCGUGCCUAAUACAUGCAAGUCGAGCGAACGGACGAGAAUCUUGCUUCUCUGCUGUUAGCGGCGGACGGGUGAGUACCACGUGGCUAACCUACCUAUAAGACUGGGAUAACUUCGGGAAACCUGAUCCAAUACCGGAUAAUAUUUUGAACCGCAUGGUUCAACAGUGAAAGACGGUCUUGCUGUCACUUAUAGAUGGAUCCGCGCUGCAUUAGCUAGUUGGUAAGGUAACGGCUUACCAAGGCAACGAUGCAUAGCCGACCUGAGAGGGUGAUCAGUCACACUGGAACUGAGACACGGUCCAGACUCCUACGGGAGGCAGCAGUAGGGAAUCUUCCGCAAUGGGCGAAAGCCUGACGGAGCAACGCCGCGUGAGUGAUGAAGGUCUUCGGAUCGUAAAACUCUGUUAUUAGGGAAGAAGAUAUGUGUAAGUAACUGUGCACAUCUUGACGGUACCUAAUCAGAAAGCCACGGCUAACUACGUG